rnacentral:rRNA from 1 species
UACAGAGGCCUCGAGCGUUGUUCGGAAUUACUGGGCGUAAAGGGAAUGUAGGCGGUAACGUAAGUCAGAUGUGAAAGCCCUGGGCUUAACCUGGGAAGUGCAUUUGAUACUGCGUUGCUGGAGUGCGAGAGAGGAAAGUGGAAUUCCAGGUGUAGGGGUGAAAUCCGUAGAUAUCUGGAGGAAUACCAAUGGCGAAGGCAGCUUUCUGGCUCGUAACUGACGCUGAGAUUCGAAAGCGUGGGGAGCGAACGGG